AGGGAUGUGCUCGCGGCCUAUCAGCUUGUUGGUGGGGUAAUGGCCUACCAAGGCUUCGACGGGUAGCCGGCCUGAGAGGGUGACCGGCCACACUGGGACUGAGACACGGCCCAGACUCCUACGGGAGGCAGCAGUGGGGAAUAUUGGACAAUGGGCGGAAGCCUGAUCCAGCAACGCCGCGUGAGGGAUGACGGCCUUCGGGUUGUAAACCUCUUUCAGUACCGACGAAGCGCCGAUGAUGGUGGUGACGGUAGGUACAGAAGAAGCACCGGCCAACUACGUG
rnacentral:rRNA from 1 species